AGAGUUUGAUCAUGGCUCAGAUUGAACGCUGGCGGCAGGCCUAACACAUGCAAGUCGAACGGUAACAGGAAGCAGCUUGCUGUUUCGCUGACGAGUGGCGGACGGGUGAGUAAUGUCUGGGAAACUGCCUGAUGGAGGGGGAUAACUACUGGAAACGGUAGCUAAUACCGCAUAACGUCGCAAGACCAAAGAGGGGGACCUUCGGGCCUCUUGCCAUCGGAUGUGCCCAGAUGGGAUUAGCUUGUUGGUGGGGUAACGGCUCACCAAGGCGACGAUCCCUAGCUGGUCUGAGAGGAUGACCAGCCACACUGGAACUGAGACACGGUCCAGACUCCUACGGGAGGCAGCAGUGGGGAAUAUUGCACAAUGGGCGCAAGCCUGAUGCAGCCAUGCCGCGUGUAUGAAGAAGGCCUUCGGGUUGUAAAGUACUUUCAGCGGGGAGGAAGGGAGUAAAGUUAAUACCUUUGCUCAUUGACGUUACCCGCAGAAGAAGCACCGGCUAACUCCGUGCCAGCAGCCGCGGUAAUACGGAGGGUGCAAGCGUUAAUCGGAAUUACUGGGCGUAAAGCGCACGCAGGCGGUUUGUUAAGUCGGAUGUGAAAUCCCCGGGCUCAACCUGGGAACUGCAUCUGAUACUGGCAAGCUUGAGUCUCGUAGAGGGGGGUAGAAUUCCAGGUGUAGCGGUGAAAUGCGUAGAGAUCUGGAGGAAUACCGGUGGCGAAGGCGGCCCCCUGGACGAAGACUGACGCUCAGGUGCGAAAGCGUGGGGAGCAAACAGGAUUAGAUACCCUGGUAGUCCACGCCGUAAACGAUGUCGACUUGGAGGUUGUGCCCUUGAGGCGUGGCUUCCGGAGCUAACGCGUUAAGUCGACCGCCUGGGGAGUACGGCCGCAAGGUUAAAACUCAAAUGAAUUGACGGGGGCCCGCACAAGCGGUGGAGCAUGUGGUUUAAUUCGAUGCAACGCGAAGAACCUUACCUGGUCUUGACAUCCACAGAACUUUCCAGAGAUGGAUUGGUGCCUUCGGGAACUGUGAGACAGGUGCUGCAUGGCUGUCGUCAGCUCGUGUUGUGAAAUGUUGGGUUAAGUCCCGCAACGAGCGCAACCCUUAUCCUUUGUUGCCAGCGGUCCGGCCGGGAACUCAAAGGAGACUGCCAGUGAUAAACUGGAGGAAGGUGGGGAUGACGUCAAGUCAUCAUGGCCCUUACGACCAGGGCUACACACGUGCUACAAUGGCGCAUACAAAGAGAAGCGACCUCGCGAGAGCAAGCGGACCUCAUAAAGUGCGUCGUAGUCCGGAUUGGAGUCUGCAACUCGACUCCAUGAAGUCGGAAUCGCUAGUAAUCGUGGAUCAGAAUGCCACGGUGAAUACGUUCCCGGGCCUUGUACACACCGCCCGUCACACCAUGGGAGUGGGUUGCAAAAGAAGUAGGUAGCUUAACCUUCGGGAGGGCGCUUACCACUUUGUGAUUCAUGACUGGGGUGAAGUCGUAACAAGGUAACCGUAGGGGAACCUGCGGUUGGAUCACCU
rnacentral:rRNA from 1 species